ACAGCCACAUCAUGCUGAAACAUCAGUUCCCAUACAAUCAUCAAAGUUAAGCAACAUUGCACCAGGUCAGUACCUAGAUGGGUGACCGCUUGAGAAUACCAGUUGCUGUAA